CACGUAGGGUGCGAGCGUUGUCCGGAAUUAUUGGGCGUAAAGCGCGUGUAGGCGGCUUUGCAAGUCGGGUGUGAAAGCCCUCAGCUCAACUGAGGAAGUGCGCCCGAAACUGCAGAGCUUGAGUGCCGGAGAGGGUGGCGGAAUUCCCCAAGUAGAGGUGAAAUUCGUAGAUAUGGGGAGGAACACCGGUGGCGAAGGCGGCCACCUGGACAGUAACUGACGCUGAGACGCGAAAGCGUGGGGAGCAAACAGG
rnacentral:rRNA from 1 species